GACGAACUGUGCAAACGUUAUUCGGAAUCACUGGGCUUAAAGGGUGCGUAGGCGGUCUUGUAAGUAGGGUGUGAAAGCCCCCCGGCUCAACCGGGGAACUGCGUCCUAAACUGCGAGGCUAGAGUGAGGUAGGGGUGUGGUGGAACUUCCAGUGGAGCGGUGAAAUGUGUUGAUAUUGGAAGGAACGCCGGUGGCGAAAGCGACACACUGGACCUUGUCUGACGCUGAGGCACGAAAGCCAGGGGAGCAAACGGGAGUUAGA
rnacentral:rRNA from 1 species